rnacentral:rRNA from 1 species
UACGAAAGGUCCAAGCGUUACUCGGAAUUACUGGGCGUAAAGCGCGCGUAGGCGGCUUUGUAUGUCGAUUGUGAAAUCCCCGGGCUCAACCUGGGAACUGCAUUUGUGACUGCAUCGCUGGAGUGCGGCAGAGGGGGAUGGAAUUCCGCGUGUAGCAGUGAAAUGCGUAGAUAUGCGGAGGAACACCGAUGGCGAAGGCAAUCCCCUGGGCCUGCACUGACGCUCAUGCACGAAAGCGUGGGGAGCAAACAGG